AUUGAACGCUGGCGGCAGGCCUAACACAUGCAAGUCGAACGGUAACAGGAAGAAGCUUGCUUCUUUGCUGACGAGUGGCGGACGGGUGAGUAAUGUCUGGGAAACUGCCUGAUGGAGGGGGAUAACUACUGGAAACGGUAGCUAAUACCGCAUAACGUCUCAAGACCAAAGAGGGGGACCUUCGGGCCUCUUGCCAUCGGAUGUGCCCAGAUGGGAUUAGCUAGUAGGUGGGGUAACGGCUCACCUAGGCGACGAUCCCUAGCUGGUCUGAGAGGAUGACCAGCCACACUGGAACUGAGACACGGUCCAGACUCCUACGGGAGGCAGCAGUGGGGAAUAUUGCACAAUGGGCGCAAGCCUGAUGCAGCCAUGCCGCGUGUAUGAAGAAGGCCUUCGGGUUGUAAAGUACUUUUAGCGGGGAGGAAGGGAGUAAAGUUAAUACCUUUGCUCAUUGACGUUACCCGAAGAAGAAGCACCGGCUAACUCCGUG
rnacentral:rRNA from 1 species